UACGUAGGAGGCAAGCGUUGUCCGGAAUCACUGGGCGUAAAGCGCGUGUAGGUGGAAGAGGAAGUCUGCUGUGAAAGCGCCUGGCUUAACCGGGCGAGGUCGGUGGAAACUCCUCAUCUGGAGGGCGGUAGAGGGGGUGGAAUUCCGGGUGUAGUGGUGAAAUGCGUAGAGAUCCGGAGGAACACCUGUGGCGAAGGCGGCCCCUGGGCCGCACCUGACGCUGAGACGCGAAAGCGCGGGGAGCGAACGGG
rnacentral:rRNA from 1 species